rfam:Otolemur garnettii contig101143, whole genome shotgun sequence.
UUUUUAGUAUAAGUAUAUCCCAUGCAAUAUUUGGGACAUACUUAUACUAAAA